rnacentral:snRNA from 1 species
GUGCUCCCUUCAACAGCACAUACACUAAAAUUGGAAUGAUACAGAGAAGAUUAGCAUGGUCCCUGCACAAGGAUGACAGACAAAUUCAUGAAGCAUUCUAUAUUAAC